rnacentral:rRNA from 1 species
UACGGAGGAUGCGAGCGUUAUCCGGAUUUAUUGGGUUUAAAGGGUGCGUAGGCGGCCUUUUAAGUCAGCGGUGAAAGUCUGUGGCUCAACCAUAGAAUUGCCGUUGAAACUGGCUGGCUUGAGUUGGGGAAAGGCAGGCGGAAUGCGCGGUGUAGCGGUGAAAUGCAUAGAUAUCACGCAGAACUCCGAUUGCGAAGGCAGCAUACCGGCGCUCAACUGACGCUCAUGCACGAAAGCGUGGGUAUCGAACAGG